rnacentral:tRNA from 1 species
UGUGGUGUGAUUCAGUGGUACAGUGCUUGCUUAGCAUGUGCAAGGCCAUGGGUUCAAUCCCCACACCACAA